rnacentral:rRNA from 1 species
UACGGUAGGGCGCAAGCGUUAUCCGGAAUUAUUGGGCGUAAAGAGCUCGUAGGCGGUUUGUCGCGUCUGCUGUGAAAAGACCGGGGCUCAACUCCGGUUCUGCAGUGGGUACGGGCAGACUAGAGUGCAGUAGGGGAGACUGGAAUUCCUGGUGGUAGCGGUGAAAUGCGCAGAUAUCAAGGAGGAACACCGGUGGCGAAGGCGGGUCUCUGGGCCCGAUGACUGACGCUGGAGGUGCGAAAGCGUGGGGAGCAAACAGG